rnacentral:lncRNA from 1 species
ACCCAAAGGCCCAAUACACCCAAAAAAUUCUCAGCAGCACUGGAAGCUUCUGGAACGUGCCAGAAUAGGCCAGAGAGCUAGGGCUCCCACGAGUGGUUCCUCACAUGGCCUCCUUCGCACGUCUCUCCGCUCCGCUGUACAACCGAGCCUGCAAAAGAACACACCAGAAAGACUCAAUAACAGAAUUCAUAGCAGAUGACAGCAGGAAAAUAGGAUUUUUUUAUAUAUUUUUAUUUUUAUUUAUCUUGUAAAUCUGGCUAUAAAAGCCAUUGAUGUACCUGCAAAUAAAAAAAAAAGAAAAGAAGAUUACGCACACAGAGUAUACACUACGCACAUUGUACGCAUAUACACGCACAGAAUAGAGAAAAAGCAAUUAAAAAUUUUUUGCAAAGGUAAUCUCAAGUUUUCUUUCGUUCUUUCUUGUAAUUUCUUUUUUUUUUCUUGAUUGGUUUAGAUCGUCUUUUAGUGGGUAAAUCGACUCCAAUGAGAUCCCGAAUACUUUAAGAUACAAAAGUAGAGGAGAAGGGUCGAGUGGUGUUGAAUCUCUAUUUUAUGAACCUUUCUUCGUUUUUUAAAAAAUGUGUGAGAUAUGAGGUUUUAUUUUUCUCAAAAAGAAAAAAAAGAGAGAAAAUACUUACUAAUUUCCUCAACGCGUGGUCGAGCACCUACAGCAGCAGAAUCGGGAAUUGUUUUGCGCGCCGCUGGACACCAAAUCUGAUGGUGAUUCGGCUGCUUGUAAAAGGAACCCUAGCAAAUUUAAUUUUAAGGCUGCUGGUUGUUGUUAAAAUGGAUGGGCAUUUGAAAGGAAAGGAAGGGAAAAAGGGUUUAAAUGGUCUGAAAUACAAAACAGUGUCAUCCAUGACCAUAAAGGUCCGCGUGUUGGCCCAAAUAGUAAAAUGGAUUUGCGCCAUGUUGUGUGAAUGGGGAAAUUCCGCGCUGAAUCCUCCCCUUGCGCACAGCCUUCAAUUUGCGCCCCAAUUUGCCCCCCUUAUGUUUUAAAAUUUGGCUUUCUAAUUCAUGCGUUGCUUCAGUUUGAUCCACGAUCCAGUGAAGUAUUAUGGGCGCGGGAUAUUUUCACUUCCAGUCCCCGCAAAUUUGUACACAUGGCACAUUGAUCCUAUUUUAUAAUUAUCUUAUUUGUAAAUUAUUCCUACUAUUUUAAUUUUGUUUUAAUUGAGUUUUUUUAUUUGUAUUAGUUCAUUUUUUCUUUUAAAAUUCAUUUAAUAUUUUUAUACAUGUGUUGAGCUUUUAAUAAUUUUGCUUUUUUUUUAUUUAUGUAAUUAUUUUGAAGUAUUU